CAAAUACUCCCUUCGUCCGGAAAUACUUGUCAUCAAAAUGGAUAAAAGGAAAUGUAUCUAGACGUAUUUUAGUUUUAGAUACAUCUCUUUUUAUCCAUUUUGAUGACAAGUAUUUUUGGACGGAGGGAGUAGAAA
rfam:Triticum aestivum genome assembly, contig: Triticum_aestivum_CS42_TGACv1_scaffold_306564_4AS